rnacentral:rRNA from 1 species
UAGGGAAUCUUCCACAAUGGACGCAAGUCUGAUGGAGCAACGCCGCGUGAGUGAAGAAGGUUUUCGGAUCGUAAAGCUCUGUUGUUGGUGAAGAAGGAUAGAGGCAGUAACUGGUCUUUAUUUGACGGUAAUCAACCAGAAAGUCACGGCUAACUACGUGCCAGCAGCUGCGGUAAUACGUAGGUGGCAAGCGUUGGCCGGAUUUAUUGGGCGUAAAGAGAGCGCAGGCGGAAUGAUAAGUAUGAUGUGAAAGCCCACGGCUCAACCGUGGGAUUGACUCUGAAAGUGUUAUUCUUGAGUGCAGAAGAGGUGAGUGGAAUUCCAUGUGUAGCGGUGGAAUGCGUAGAUAUAUGGAAGAACACCAGUGGCGAAGGCGGCUCUCUGGUCUGCAACUGACGCUGAGGCUCGAAAGCAUGGGUAGCGAACAGG